CGCACAUUGCGCCCUUUGGUAUUCCUUAGGGCAUGCCUGUUCGAGCGUCAUUGACAACCCUCAAGCCCCCCUUUCUGGCUUGGUGUUGGGCGUUUGUCCCCCCGGGGACUCGCCUCAAAUACAUUGGCAGCCGGCACGUUGGCCCCGAGCGCAGCAGAAACGCGCCCGGCGUCUUGACGGUGCCCGGCUCUCCACGAAGCCCACCCCCACAGUUUGACCUCGGAUCAGGUAGGGAUACCCGCUGAACUUAA
rnacentral:misc_RNA from 1 species